UACGAAGGGGGCUAGCGUUGCUCGGAAUCACUGGGCGUAAAGCGCACGUAGGCGGCUUUUUAAGUCAGGGGUGAAAUCCUGGAGCUCAACUCCAGAACUGCCUUUGAUACUGAGAAGCUUGAGUCCGGGAGAGGUGAGUGGAACUCCUAGUGUAGAGGUGAAAUUCGUAGAUAUUAGGAAGAACACCAGUGGCGAAGGCGGCUCACUGGCCCGGAACUGACGCUGAUGUGCGAAAGCGUGGGGAGCAAACAGG
rnacentral:rRNA from 1 species